rnacentral:misc_RNA from 1 species
GUGAAUCAUCAAAUUUUUGAACGCAAAUUGCACUCUCCUCGGAGAGUAUGCUUGUUUGAGGGUCAGCCUAUAAAAAAUCGACAUGGUUGUUGUUUCGCGGUGGCGUUGGCGGGAAAUGGGGCCAUUUUAAUUCUUUUUGGUUUUUAAGCGACUUAAAAUUUUCUUUUUGGUUCCUGGAACGUUUUUAAGAUUUAUUUCUUUCCACGUUUAAGGUAUAGAUUUUUAUUAGACGUGACCAUCGUAUC